rnacentral:rRNA from 1 species
UACGUAGGGGGCUAGCGUUGUCCGGAUUUAUUGGGCGUAAAGAGCGUGUAGGCGGCCAGGUAGGACUGCUGUGAAAACUCGAGGCUCAACCUCGAGACGUCGGCGGAAACCAUCUGGCUAGAGUCCGGAAGAGGAGAGUGGAAUUCCUGGUGUAGCGGUGAAAUGCGCAGAUAUCAGGAAGAACACCCGUGGCGAAGGCGGCUCUCUGGGACGGUACUGACGCUGAGACGCGAGAGCGUGGGGAGCGAACAGG